GGCAAAGUGGCCGAGUGGUCUAAGGCGACAGACUGUGAAUCUGUUCUCUUCGGAGGCGCAGGUUCGAACCCUGCCUUUGUCG